rnacentral:hammerhead_ribozyme from 1 species
AGACUACUGAGGAGUCCCAUAAUAGGACGAAACAGCUGUUUAGUAC